GGCUGGGCGCACUGGCAGCGGGAGCUGCUGUGGGAAACGAGAACGCCCCUGCUGUUUGAGCUCCAAACGUGGGGGCUGGUUGGGAGCCAAAGGCAGGUGCGCUGGGUGCUGCGCCAAAGGUUUGUGGUUUUGCAGCGGGUGCGCCAAAGGCGCUUCCAAACGCGGGUGGCGCUGCCGGGGCUGCUGCUGGGGUAGUCCCGAAGCUGAAGCCCGUCGUUGUUGUGCUGGGGGCGCCGAAUGCAGGUGCGGAGGACGCAGCGCCGAACGCCGGCGCGCUGGUUGCUGGAGCGGCAGCGGCAUUUGCCGCAGAGAAGCCAAACGGGCUUGCUGGCGGCGCUGUGGUUGCAGCGCCGAACUACGGAUUUAGAAGUCAAAUCACGCAUUUGAAAAAACAUUGGUUAAAUUUGGUGCAGAAUCGACCUUAUACAAACGGAUAUAUAAGUAUGCUACACAUGUAGGCGCAUCAAGCAACAAACCUGAAAGGGUGAUGCCGCCAUGGUUGCCGAUCGACUCUCCUCACGUUACAAGCAAAGGUAGCCCGUAUCAAUCAGAUUAAGCAAGCAUAUAUACAAUACAUAAACAUAAGGCAAAAUCCUUUUCGCGAAGCGACAUCGCCUGCGCCGCAAAGCUGUUUGGAAGUUCAAAUCCUACGAGCAGAGCAGCAGAUAACGACCACAGCAAUUAAGCCCACAGGUGUUUAAGCCUGACAACUCAGUCCUUGGGGAAGGUUUCACUCAAACUUUCUACCUAACUUGUUUCGGAGCCCAUUAUCAACGGUUAUUAGUACAACAGCUUUACUGCCCAGUCUGAGCUAGGACUCUGCAGCCAUGCUGCCGAAAUGUGGAAAAGCUGUGCACAUUAAUCAUCAUCGCACCGAAGUACUUAACAGAGUAUCAUGGGAUAAUGAGGAAUCGCCUCAUUUUG
rnacentral:lncRNA from 1 species